GAUGAAGAACGUAGCGAAAUGAGAUAAGUAAUGUGAAUUGCAGAAUUCAGUGAAUCAUCGAAUCUUUGAACGCAUCUUGCGCUCCUUGGUAUUCUGAGGAGCAUGCCUGUUUGAGUGUCAUUAAAUUCUCAACCGCACUGACUUUGAAUUGGUGUGGCUUGGAUUUGGGGGGAAAAUUGUUGUGGGCUUUUUUGUAUAGUCUGCUCCCCUGAAAUUGAUUAGCGGUACCUUUGUGGAACUGUCUACAGGUGUGAUAAUUAUCUACAUCCUAGACAUCUGCUGGAAUGCUGCUUUCUAAACCUUACUUGUAUUGACAAUCUUGACCUCAAAUCAGGCAGGACUACCCGCUGAACUUAAGCAUAUCAAUAAGCGGAGGA
rnacentral:misc_RNA from 1 species